GGGGAAUUUUCCGCAAUGGGCGAAAGCCUGACGGAGCAAUACCGCGUGAGGGAGGAAGGCUUUUGGGUUGUAAACCUCUUUUCUCAAGGAAGAAGCACUGACGGUACUUGAGGAAUCAGCAUCGGCUAACUCCGUGCCAGCAGCCGCGGUAAUACGGAGGAUGCAAGCGUUAUCCGGAAUUAUUGGGCGUAAAGCGUCCGCAGGUGGUGCAUCAAGUCUGCUGUCAAAGACCAGGGCUUAACCCCGGGAAGGCAGUGGAAACUGGUGGACUAGAGUACGGUAGGGGUAGAGGGAAUUCCCAGUGUAGCGGUGAAAUGCGUAGAGAUUGGGAAGAACACCAGUGGCGAAGGCGCUCUACUGGACCUGUACUGACACUCAGGGACGAAAGCUAGGGGAGCGAAAGGGAUUAGAUACCCCUGUAGUC
rnacentral:rRNA from 1 species